AGCAGCCGCGGUAAUUCCAGCUCCAAUAGCGUAUAUUAAAGUUGUUGCAGUUAAAAAGCUCGUAGUUGAAUUUCGAGACCGGUUUACUGGUCGUGCUUUUGUACGUACUGGUAUUAUUGGUUUCUCCUUUCUGACGAAUCAUAAUGCCAUUAAUUUGGUGUUUUGGGGAAUCAGGACUGUUACUUUGAAAAAAUUAGAGUGUUUAAAGCAGGCUCACGCUUGAAUACAUUAGCAUGGAAUAACGAAAUAGGACGUUUGAUUUUAUUUUGUUGGUUUCUAGGAUCGACGUAAUGAUUAAUAGGGAUAGUUGGGGGCAUUAGUAUUCAAUUGUCAGAGGUGAAAUUCUUGGAUUUAUUGAAGACUAACUACUGCGAAAGCAUUUGCCAAGGAUGUUUUCAUUAAUCAAGAACGAAAGUUAGGGGAUCGAAGACGAUCAGAUACCGUCGUAGUCUUAACCAUAAACUAUGCCGACUAGGGAUCGGAUGAUGUUAAUUUUUAAUGACUCAUUCGGCGCC
rnacentral:rRNA from 1 species